GAUGAACGCUGGCGGUAUGCUUAACACAUGCCAGUCGAACGGACUCUUCGGAGUUAGUGGCGGACGGGUGAGUAACGCGUGAGAAUCUGGCUUUGGGUUCGGGACAACCACUGGAAACGGUGGCUAAUACCGGAUGUGCCGAGAGGUAAAAGAGAAAUUGCCUGAAGAUGAGCUCGCGUCUGAUUAGCUAGUUGGUGAGGUAAAGGCUCACCAAGGCAGCGAUCAGUAGCUGGUCUGAGAGGAUGACCAGCCACACUGGGACUGAGACACGGCCCAGACUCCUACGGGGGGCAGCAGUGGGGAAUUUUCCGCAAUGGGCGAAAGCCUGACGGAGCAAUACCGCGUGAGGGAAGAAGGCUCUUGGGUUGUAAACCUCUUUUCUUAGGGAAGAACAAAAUGACGGUACCUAAGGAAUCAGCAUCGGCUAACUCCGUG
rnacentral:rRNA from 1 species